rnacentral:rRNA from 1 species
AUUGAACGCUGGCGGCAGGCCUAACACAUGCAAGUCGAACGAGUGGCGGACGGGUGAGUAAUGUCUGGGCAACUGCCUGAUGGAGGGGGACUACUACGGGAAACGGUAGCUAAUACCGCAUACCAUCAGAUGUGCCCAGAUGGGAUUAGCUAGUUGGUGGGGUAACGGCUCACCAAGGCGCCGCUCCCUAGCUGGUAUGAGAGGCUGACCAGCCACACUGGAACUGAGACACGGUCCAGACUCCUACGGGAGGUAGCAGUGGGUACUAUUGCGCAAUGGGCGCAAGCCUGAUCGAGCCAUGCCGCGUGUAUGAAGAAGGCCUUCGGGUUGUAAAGUUCUGUCAGCGGGGAGGCGUUACCCGCAUAGGAAGCACCGGCUAACUCCGUGCCAGCAGCCGCGGUAAUUC